AUUGAACGCUGGCGGCAUGCUUUACACAUGCAAGUCGAACGGUAACAGGCCUUCGGGUGCUGACGAGUGGCGAACGGGUGAGUAAUGCAUCGGAACGUACCCAGAGGUGGGGGAUAACGCAGCGAAAGCUGUGCUAAUACCGCAUGUGAUCUGAGGAUGAAAGCGGGGGACCGAGCAGCAAUGUUUGGCCUCGCGCCUUUGGAGCGGCCGAUGUCGGAUUAGCUAGUUGGUGGGGUACAGGCCAACCAAGGCGACGAUCCGUAGCUGGUCUGAGAGGACGACCAGCCACACUGGGACUGAGACACGGCCCAGACUCCUACGGGAGGCAGCAGUGGGGAAUUUUGGAUAAUGGGCGCAAGCCUGAUCCAGCAAUGCCGCGUGCGGGAAGAAGGCCUUCGGGUUGUAAACCGCUUUUGGCAGGAACGAAACGGUGUCCGCUAAUACCGGGCGCUAAUGACGGUACCUGCAGAAUAAGCACCGGCUAACUACGUG
rnacentral:rRNA from 1 species